rfam:Camelus ferus unplaced genomic scaffold scaffold340, whole genome shotgun sequence.
GAGGGUAUAGCUCAGUGGUAGAGCAUGUGCUUAGCAUGCACGAGGUCCUGGGUUCAAUCCCCAGUACCUCCA